UACGUAGGGUGCGAGCGUUAAUCGGAAUUAUUGGGCGUAAAGGGUGCGCAGGUGGCCGCGCAAGUCGAGUGUGAAAUCCCCGAGCUUAACUUGGGAAUUGCGCUCGAAACUACGUGGCUCGAGUGUGGCAGAGGAAGGUGGAAUUCCACGUGUAGCGGUGAAAUGCGUAGAGAUGUGGAGGAACACCGAUGGCGAAGGCAGCCUUCUGGGCCAACACUGACGCUCAUGCACGAAAGCGUGGGGAGCAAACAGG
rnacentral:rRNA from 1 species